GUAUAAACAAAGCCGUGCUUUCCCA
rnacentral:piRNA from 1 species